UACGAAGGGGGCUAGCGUUGUCCGGAAUUAUUGGGCGUAAAGAGCUCGUAGGCGGCCUGUUGCGUCCGCUGUGAAAUCCCGGGGCUCAACCCCGGGCCUGCAGUGGAUACGGGCUGGCUGGAGGCAGGCAGGGGAGAACGGAAUUCCUGGUGUAGCGGUGAAAUGCGCAGAUAUCAGGAGGAACACCGGUGGCGAAGGCGGUUCUCUGGGCCUGUUCUGACGCUGAGGAGCGAAAGCGUGGGGAGCGAACAGG
rnacentral:rRNA from 1 species